rnacentral:rRNA from 1 species
GACGAACGCUGGCGGUGCGCCUUAUGCAUGCAAGUCGAGCGAAGCUUUUCAGUAGUUUACUACAGAAAAUGACUGAGCGGCGAACGGGUGAGUAACGCGUGAGCAAUCUACCUUAGUUACAGGGAUAGCCCGAGGAAACUCGGAUUAAUACCUGAUAUUCUUUAUAUUUCGCAAGAAAUUAAAAGGAAAGGUCAGCCGAACUAAGAUGAGCUCGCGUUCUAUCAGCUAGUUGGUGAGGUAAAAGCUCACCAAGGCUACGACGGAUAGCUGGUCUGAGAGGACGAUCAGCCACACUGGGACUGAGACACGGCCCAGACUCCUACGGGAGGCUGCAGCAGGGAAUAUUGCGCAAUGAGCGAAAGCUUGACGCAGCGACACCGCGUGUGGGAUGACGGAUCUAGGUUUGUAAACCACUUUCAGGAGGGAAGAAAAUGACGG